rnacentral:rRNA from 1 species
GUUAGCGGCGGACGGGUGAGUAACACGUGGGUAACCUGCCUGUAAGACUGGGAUAACUCCGGGAAACCGGAGCUAAUACCGGAUAGUUCCUUGAACCGCAUGGUUCAAGGAUGAAAGACGGUUUCGGCUGUCACUUACAGAUGGACCCGCGGCGCAUUAGCUAGUUGGUGAGGUAACGGCUCACCAAGGCGACGAUGCGUAGCCGACCUGAGAGGGUGAUCGGCCACACUGGGACUGAGACACGGCCCAGACUCCUACGGGAGGCAGCAGUAGGGAAUCUUCCGCAAUGGACGAAAGUCUGACGGAGCAACGCCGCGUGAGUGAUGAAGGUUUUCGGAUCGUAAAGCUCUGUUGUUAGGGAA